ACAGGAAUGGCGGCCACAGGAUUGGCGGCCACAUGGGGAUGUGCGGCGGCGGUGGGUUGGUGGAUUCCCUGCUGCAGGGUCAGCUGUCCGAUCAUCUCCCUCAAUUCUGCCAAGGAUGCCUCAAUCGCAGCAAGUCGCGCCUCUUGGUUAUCUGCCAUGGUCGAACUUCGCUCUGAUACCAAUCUGAUACAGGACUAUUUAGACUCUGUCAGGAGUUGUAACCAAUAUCGUUUGGUUAAGACGAAAUAAGAGAAAAGAUAGGCUAAAAGACGAAAAGUCUUAUUGAAAUUUCUUAAAAAUUGGAAAGUGAGUUCCUAAUAGCCAAGGGAGGCUAUUUAUAAUAGAAAUAAAAUUCUAAUAUGCAAAAAUAAUCCUAAUCUUAAUAGGAGUCUAAAAUCCUAAUAGCCAAGGGAGGCUAUUUACAAUAGAAAUAAAAUCCUAAUAUGAAAAAAUAAUUCUAAUCCUAAUAGGAGUCUAACUGUUC
rnacentral:lncRNA from 1 species